GAUGAACGCUGGCGGCGUGCCUAAUACAUGCAAGUCGAGCGAACAGACGAUGCGCUUGCUCCUCUGACGUUAGCGGCGGACGGGUGAGUCACACGUGUAUAACCUACCUAUAAGACUGGGAUAACUUCGGGACACCGGAGCUUAUACCGGAUAAUCUAUUGAACCGCAUGGUUCAAUAGAGAAAUACGGUUUUGCUGUCACUUAUAGAUGGAUCCGCGCCGCAUUAGCGAGUUGGUAAGGUAAAGGCUUACGAAGGCAACGAUGCGUAGCCGACCUGGGAGGGUGAGCGGCCACACUGGAACUGCGACACGGUCCAGACUCGUACGGGGGGCAGCAGUAGGGAAGCUGCCGCAAGGGGCGAAAGCCGGACGGAGCAACGCAGCGUGAGGGAGGAAGGUCGUCGGAUCGUAAAACUCUGUUAUGAGGGAAGAACAAAUGUGUAAGUAACUAUGCACGUCGAGACGGUACCGAAUCAGAAAGCCACGGCUAACUACG
rnacentral:rRNA from 1 species